rnacentral:rRNA from 1 species
UGGAUCCAGACUUUGAUUAUGGCUCAGGAUGAACGCUAGCUACAGGCUUAACACAUGCAAGUCGAGGGGAAACGAUAUUGGAAGCUUGCUUCCGAUAGGCGUCGACCGGCGCACGGGUGAGUAACACGUAUCCAACCUGCCCAUCACUUGGGGAUAACCUUGCGAAAGUAAGACUAAUACCCAAUGACGUCCAUAGAAGACAUCUGAAAUGGAUUAAAGAUUCAUCGGUGAUGGAUGGGGAUGCGUCUGAUUAGCUUGUUGGCGGGGUAACGGCCCACCAAGGCGACGAUCAGUAGGGGUUCUGAGAGGAAGGUCCCCCACAUUGGAACUGAGACACGGUCCAAACUCCUACGGGAGGCAGCAGUGAGGAAUAUUGGUCAAUGGGCGAGAGCCUGAACCAGCCAAGUGGCGUGCAGGAUGACGGCCCUAUGGGUUGUAAACUGCUUUUAUAAGGGAAUAAAGUGAGUCUCGUGAGACUUUUUGCAUGUACCUUAUGAAUAAGGACCGGCUAAUUCCGUGCCAGCAGCCGCGGUAGUACGGAAGGUCCGGGCGUUAUCCGGAUUUAUUGGGUUUAAAGGGAGCGUAGGCCGGAGAUUAAGCGUGUUGUGAAAUGUAGACGCUCAACGUCUGCACUGCAGCGCGAACUGGUUUCCUUGAGUACGCACGAAGUGGGCGGAAUUCGUGGUGUAGCGGUGAAAUGCUUAGAUAUCACGAAGAACUCCGAUUGCGAAGGCAGCUCACUGGAGCGCAACUGACGCUGAAGCUCGAAAGUGCGGGUAUCGAACAGGAUUAGAUACCCUGGUAGUCCGCACGGUAAACGAUGGAUGCCCGCUGUUGGUCUGAAUAGGUCAGCGGCCAAGCGAAAGCAUUAAGCAUCCCACCUGGGGAGUACGCCGGCAACGGUGCAACUCAAAGGAAUUGACGGA